UUCCCUGCUUGACAGACCCCUUUUCGUACAAUGUCCUUGGCAUAAGUGGAAGUCUUCAAAUAUGGAAACUGGGAGUUCAUUCAUUAUGAUUUCUGGAGACUUCUGAUUUCGGGUCACCUGAAAACCCAUUUAUAUACCCGCCUUUCUGGUCUAUAUUUUACUAACAUGCUUUUCAGGUUUAAACCCAUGGAGAUUUCUGGCUCUAAAAGACGAAAUCUCUGCUCUUCAGCAAGGAGGAGAAAUAACAAGGAGAAGAAAGAAGAACCAAUGUCAGGCGGAAGGAUUCUAGGAGAUUGCCAGUGAAAUGCGUAUUGAAAUGUCGAGGUCCUGAUAUGCCCAGCUUGUGGUUUAUGCUACAUUGACGAACAAACAAAAAUCACUGAGUAUUGCCUGUUACAACUCAUGACCACUGCUGUCGGUUCAUAUAUAACUGCAACAACUGCAGCUCUAUGAUACCGUGCUCCAGGAAUGUAAGGCAAACACAAAAACCGAUGUCUACAGACUACAAUUUAGCAGUAAUCGCAUUAGAAUCUCUGACUGGGAAAUCUCCUGGAGAGGCAAUGCAUGGUGUUGGUUUACCACAAUGGUGAACUUCAAUUGUGAAGGAAGAAUGGACAAUUGAAGUUUUUGAUGUCGAAAUACAUCUACAACAGGAGAUGAGUUGCUAAUACAUUGAAAUUAGCUCUACAUCAUGGUGAUCCGUUACCAGCCGCACGACCAGAAGUCCAACGAUUGGAAGAAAUGAAACCUGAAUUUGCUUCCAGUUCUGGUGAUGAUAGUGGUGCUGAUGUUGGUGUUAGUGGCUCUGGUUAUGGUGCCGCACUGCCGCUAUCGUCCCCCCUUCAAAUGACUGAGUAAAAUGAUUCUCUUAUCUCACCUUUUAGAAGUUUCUGUUAUUUUUCGUAGGACAUUAUAGACAUAAUAUUAGUGGUAGUGAGGCAUUUGUUCUUGAUGGGCUAUGGGUUUCAGACUUUACAUAUGCAGCAUACUCUGUUAACAAAUCUUGAUGGGUAAGCAUUUAUUCUGUGUUCUCUACUUUUAUACUUCUCUAUCAUCAAAUCAAAUACUGGUGGCUGUUUAGGUCUAUAUAUAUCACUACUGGUGGCUGGUGGUUGGAGACAAAUUCACUUGGAGAUGCUUCGUAUCUGACGAUUUCAUGACAUAAUCCACUGGCGAGAGUAAUUUUCUAUUGCUUUUAUCUCACCCACUUUGACAAUUCUAGUAGUAUAUAUCACUACUCCGAUGUUGCCUUAUCACAUAAUGUUGUGUACAUUUGUGGAAGGCUGCAGAUUGUUUUCAGAAACGAGUGUAUGUUGUAGGGCCUACGGCCCAUCUAUAUAGUUAGGGUUCACCUUCCAUGUAUAUAAAGGAUACUAUAGCUAUGUAAUAAGGUUGAUCCAUUAUCAAUAGAAAUCUCUCUUAUGUC